UCGAAAAUAGCAGUGAAAAACCAAUGGGGCAGUGGCAGCAGUGUCGUUUUCAACCACAGGGAGCACACUAGCUGAGCCAGAUGUCGUGCCGGGCCGAGCCUCUGCUUAUCUCACCCCUUUGUUUCUGUCUAUCACCGCUCGCACGCACUUGCUCAUGUGCUUGUCGCUGCUUUGUUGUGGCCUCACACAGCAGGGAUUCAGCUUUGCGACACUCCAAGAGGACGUGGAGGACGGUCAGCCUCUCACCACAUCGACCACAGCUUGGGGGUUCAUUUCCAGCUGCCAUUCCGGCAUGCCCAACGUGCCCGACCUGGUGUUCUUUGUGGCCACGCCGACAUAAUAUUGGCGAUGAGGAUAAUGCCCGUGCAUCGUGCCUACAUGGCACUGAAUAAGAACAUGAAGUACUGUCAGACUAUUGCUGCACUUACUACAGUAAGUCGGAGGAUCGCCCCCAUUCAAGAGAAGUGCCAGUGAGUGAAGAUGCCAAAGUAUAAGACUUUAACACUGCAGCAGAAGUUCCAUUUGAUCCAAGAAGUGGGUAAAAACACAUGUUCCAAAACCAAGUUGGCUGAAAGGCACAGCGUGGCCUUCUCGACGUUGUCCACAAUAUUGAAGAACAAGUCGAAGGUGCUGGAGGCCUACAGCAAGACGUAUUCUACGAAGCGGUCGCGAGUACGGGCUCUCAUAUACCAAGAUGUGGAAUCAGCUUUACUUCGGUCAUCCAGUGAGACGUGUUCAUGUUUGCUUGUGCGUGCAUGACACUGUGCUCAUUAAUUUAGUUAGUAAGUGAAUGGUUUAUACUGCCAUUAAAACUACAAUUCUCAUUUUG